GGGAGAGCUGCAACAUGAGGGAGGCAAGGGGAGACUGCUGUGUUUCUUUUCUGGUCUUGCAUGUCUAUGCCCUCUAUUCCGUUUCUAAGAUUAAGCGGCUGCUGUCAGCCAGCCUGUCAGAAGUGGGGGCAGGACUUUGAGGAAAGGACUUUCGGAGGACUCAUUCUUGACUGGCUAUCAGGGCCAUCUCUUCCUGCUUCCCACCUAGAGCUCUGCUGGACUUCUCGGUCAUAUCUACCUCCUGAUGUCAUCUCUCCUUCCUGAUGCUGUGGAGACCUUCAGAGACCAGGUCUCACCUCCUUUAUGCCCCAGGCUGGGAGUCAGGACUCCUCAAAUCUAGCAGGCCUGGAUUCUCUUCUUGCUGACUCAUAGCACCACCACAGCCAAGCCCAAGCGUGCCUCAGUUUCCCUCUGGCCAGGGAGAGGUAGGUGAAGAGAAAGCCAUAAGCCAUGAAUUUAGGACUAGACGCUGGCUGUGAAGGCUAGUGAGCUGGGAGACUAAGCAAAACAGCCCUGGGAUGGUGAUAGCCUCCGGAAAGUCAAGCCUACAUUUCUGGUAGCUAGAUGACAGAAAGGACAGCUUUUCAUCCUUAGCUGAGGUUGACAUAACUUCUAGACCCGACCUUACCAUGCCAUGAAGAGCCACUAACUAGACUCUCACCCUCCAAAACAGCAGGAGAAGCUAGAGAGGGCGGCUCAUGCUGGCAAUCCCAGCCCUCCAGAGGGAAGGGGGAGAACAAAAUGGCAUGAGCCAGAACCACCUUGAAUACUCACUGGAGAUAUUUGUCAAGGGGUAAUGGCACCAACGGGCAGUUCCUGAGGAUCCAGGUCAGGCUCCAGGUUCUCAGCAUAUGAGGAUUGGGGUCCU